GAGUAAAAAUGGGUUGAGGGUGAACAAUAUGUUUAUUGUGCUGAUAUGAUAUAUUGUAUAAAAUAACGAUGGAUUGUUGCAAACACUUUUAUGUAUAUUUAUGUUUGAUGCAUAAAAUACUACACGUGUGGUAGUUUUUAUACAUGUCGGUUUUGCAAAAUUGUCUAAGUUUUUUAAUUAGAGGUUUUUGCAGGUUCGCCUAUGUUUUGCAAAAUGUGGGUUGUAUUCUGUUAUGGGAGGAUUUUAUUGGGUUUAUAUAUCGGUCAGUUAAACGGUUAAGGGGAAAAUUCUACAUAUAAAUUUUAUGCUACUCUGUACAUUACACAUGUGGGGCAACAUGUUCGGAAGUAUAAUGUUCUUCCAGAGUGGGCAAGAAUGGUGGAUAUAUAUUGUAAUAUGUAUAUAUAUAUGUUAUUUGGGGGGAAUGCCGUUAUUAUUUAUAAUUAUAGGUUUUUAUGGUCUGAACGAGAAUUCGUUACUUUAAUGUUAUAAUAGAGUACAUAAAUGUAGGUGUAUGAUUAUUCGUUUAUGUUUGAAAUUUUAAUUAAGUUGUUCAUAUUUCUCUUGUAUUGGAAAUUGUGUGCCUUUUUAAAGAGUAUUCGUGUUUAUGGUACAUAUGGUGUGGCAGUUCCUUAUUGUGCACAUGUGUUAUAUAUAUUAUUUUAUCAUUUUUUUUUUUACAUAUUUUUGAUGCUGGCUUUAUCUAUCAUCAAGUGAGCAUCAUUAAACAGUCGAUCUUCUUGCGAAAAUGUAAGGCAUAUGAAACUAUUUCUUAAUAUAUUUUUGAUAAAUUCUUCGACUUCGUAUUUAUGAUCUGUCAAAUAUUGAUAUUCUUGUUGGCCUAGGCCCUUUAUGUUAUCAUACAGCAGUUUUAAUAUGUAAGUUCGGACGUUUUUGUACUUUACCUUUCUGUAGUUAAAUUCGUCGAGUACAAAAGGCCCGCCACUGUCGUCCUGCUGUUCCGACGGAUGGUCUCUCAAGCCGUUUUGUUCUAAAAAGUUAUCAUAGUAGAUAGUUACUGAAAAAUAUUCAAUAGGAUUUUUAAACUGUGUACGUGUUCUUCUUUGUUUCCUUUUGUCCAUUUUUUCCUGUUUAUGUUUAUGCUUAUUUAUUUGAGUUACUUCUAUGUUGUUGCCGUUUUUUUCUAAGUUACUUUUGGUUGUAGUAGGCGCGACAAUAGACUUUUUUUUGUCUAACCAUGCGGGGGUUUCGGUUCCAAGGAAUUUGAGCUUUCCAAAUCUCAUGUCUUGUGGAGGAUCAUCUAAUUGGUGUUUUUCACAUUCAUGUGGGUAAAAGCCAUGAUCUUCAUUUGUGGGGUAGGUUUUAUAUGGGGAGCCUUUUAGUUUAUCUAUAAGAGGACAAUUUAUCAUUUCGAAUGAAUCAUCAGAAAAUAAAUCAUCCUCUUCUUCUUCUUGUAGUUGUUCGUAUUGUGCUUGUCCAAGUACUUCAUCAUCGAAUUCAUAAUCACUGAUUGGAUCGGAGCUAUAAUUAUCCUCCGAUAUUUUAAAUGUGGUUUUUGUUAAUGGGGAAUAUUUUUUUUUCUUCUUUCUAUGGCUAUCUAUUUCGUCCAUUAACUCAUCAAAACUAUCUUCUUCGUUUCUCGAAUAGUUGAGCAUAACGGCGUCAUCGUUGUUUCUAUUAUUACUCUGAUUCGAUUGGUAAUCAUCGGGCCCGUUCUUAUGAUCACCUGUUGUUGUUACAUCUUGGUCUAUUAUUUCAUACAGGGAUGUCAUAAUUUGU
rnacentral:rRNA from 1 species